AGUCUAAAAUCUUUGGAACUGCUUGGAUAUUGUGACCUUAGGGCAAGUCCUCAGACUGCCAACUUCUGAAUACUAAGGGACAAUUUAUAAUUUAGAAAUUGUCCCUUAGUAUUCAGAAGUUGGCAAUUUGAGGACUUGCCCUAAGGUCACAAUAUCCAAGCAGUUCCAAAGAUUUUAGCUU
rnacentral:miRNA from 1 species